CAGCCGCCGCGGUAAUACGUAGGUGGCGAGCGUUGUCCGGAUUUAUUGGGCGUAAAGGGAGUGUAGGCGGUCUUUUAAGUCUGAUGUGAAAGCCCACGGCUCAACCGUGGAGGGUCAUUGGAAACUGGGAGACCUGAGUGCAGAAGAGGAGAGCGGAAUUCCAUGUGUAGCGGUGAAAUGCGUAGAUAUAUGGAGGAACACCAGUGGCGAAGGCGGCUCUCUGGUCUGUAACUGACGCUGAGGCUCGAAAGCGUGGGGAGCAAACAGGAUUAGAGACCCCCGUAGUCCCUGUCUCUUAUAC
rnacentral:rRNA from 1 species